rnacentral:tRNA from 2 species
AUUUAUAUAGUUUAUAUUAAUUAAAACAUUACAUUUUCAUUGUAAAAAAGAAAAAUUUUUUCUAUAAAUA